rnacentral:tRNA from 1 species
CCCUAGCCUUCCAAGCUAACGAUGCGGGUUCGAUUCCCGCUAUCCGCU